UGCGGACCCCUUCUGUAAGCGCGCGAUAAAGCGCGGUUUUGGAAGUCACGGUGGCCGAGUGGUUAAGGCGUUGGACUCGAAAUCCAAUGGGGUUUCCCCGCACAGGUUCUCAUAUUUAAAUAUCUGGAGAGCCAAGACCAGAAUUGACCAGCAGAGGGCAACCAACAACUAUGUUGUGAAGGGAAGAAGGCUCCAUGGUUUACAAAAUGGAGGAUCUGGACCAAGAAGGGAAAUAUGGCAGAGGUAGUUUGCUACUUGAAGUUCAUCCCUUUUACUCUCAAAUGCUUCUCUUGUAACUUUUGUGGGUGAGAGGCCGAGGCUUCAAACCUUCAUAUACAAUAGAUCAUUUUAAAUUUCUACCAUCCCCAUGUACCCACCCCAUCUCCCCAAUUCCUUCACCCUUCCUCUUCCACUCCAACAAAUCCUAACUAUUCUUUUACCUUUCUUUACCUUGCAUGAUCUGGCCCCCUCUCUCUCACCAUUCUUACAUAUUUACAUAUCACCCACUGGCAUUCUUUAGUUCCUGCUACAGUAUGUGGCCUUCCAUAUUUUCCCUGAAGUAACCUUCUCCACUUAAGCCUGUAGUCCCACUCAUUUAAACCUCCUAAGGAACCUUCCAUAAAUAUCCUUCCAUAACACCUUAAAAUUCCUCUACUCCACUGGAUCAAUCCUUCAUGAAUUCAGUACAAACAAAACCCCACCUUCAUUUGACACUUUCAAAUUUCCACAUUGUUUUCUACUUCCUUUUAUUUUUCGAAUAAAAUGUAUACCUUUCUGCCUCCAGUUCCAUACUAUCAGAUACCCCGUCAUCUGGUUUCUGCCUCCUGAAGUGUUUUGGUUUUUUUUUCUUUUUUACUUUUUUACUUUUUAUUUUUUUUUGAGACAGAGUCUUGCUCUCUCACCUAGGCUGGAGUGCAGUGGCACAAGCUCGGCUCACUGCAACCACCACCUCCCAGGUUCAAGCAAUUCUCCUGCCUCAGCCUCCCAAGUAGCUGGUAUUACAGGUCCCUGUCACCAUGCGCCUGGCUAAUUUUUUUUUUUUGUAUUUUUAGUAGGGACGGGGUUUUGCUAUGUUGACCAGGCUGGUUUUGAACUCCUGACCUCAAGUGAUCCACCUGCCUCAGCCUCCCCAAGUGCUGAGAUUACAGGUGUGAGCCACCGCGCCCGGCCUCCUGAAGUUUUUUAGACGUUAAUAGAAACCACUGGACAAAUUUAAUAAUCUCUUCUCAGUCUCCAUCCUUUCUGUGUUUGAAACAACAUUGAUUUCUUACUGGCCUUCAGAAACACUUAUUGUUUUUCUCCUUCUCAGUAUACUGCUUCUCCACCUCAUUUGCUUUCUUCUUCCUCCUGUGGAAUUUCCACCAAAGCUUCAUUCUCCCGAGACAAAAUCUCAGAGCCACCUUUCCAGGUAUGUCCUCAGCUAAACCAUGGUCCUUUAUCUCCAGCUGUUCACAUCUCUGCACAGCUGACCUAGUGUCACCUAAUAUGCAAACAAAGCUUCUCUUCCUCUCUCACAAUCAUCGUUCUGAACUUUUCCCACUUUUGUUGAUACCACUAUUCACUCAAUUCCUUCAUUUCCAGCUCUAAGAAUUAAUUAUCUGAAGUUUGUUUUCUCCCAAGCCCAUCACACUGAUUCAUCAGUUGCUUCCCCAAGCACAUCAUCUUAAUUCAUGCCUGUUACGAUGGCCUUCAAGGUGCCCUAGUUUCACCACACUGAAAUCCACCCUAUAUUAGUGUGAUUACACUGCUUUCAUCAUAUUAUUCCCCUGUCCAGGAACUCAGUUCCCCAUCUAAACAAACACAUGAUCCUAUUAUCAACAUACCCUGCCUAAAUUGCCCGUUUUUCUUACCCUUACAUCUUUCCACUAAGAUACCUUCCAUCUAAUCUGGCUGGUCAUCUCCGUGUGACAGCCCAACCCCUGCCAUCCCUCAUGAAGUUCCUUCUCUUUACUAACUAGGUAGUCUCACCAUAUAAUGAUCUUUUCAGCAAUAAAUUCUUAGAUCUUAAAAGUAUUAUUAUUUUGCCUGGACACGGUGGCUCACGCCUGUAAUUCCAGCACUUUGGGAGGCCGAGGCGGGUGGAUCACCUGAGGUCAGGAGUUUGAGACCAGCCUGGCCAACAUGGUGAAACCCCGUCUCUACUAAAAAUAAAAAAAUUAUCCGGGCAUAGUGGCGCAUGCCUGUAAUCCUAGCUACUCAGGAGGCUGGGGCACGAGAAUCGCUUGAACCCCGGAGGCAGAGGUUGCAGUGAGCCGUGAUCGCACCACUGCACUCCAGCCUGGGCGACAGAGUGAGACUUUGUCUCAAAAAAAAAAUUAGUCUCACUUUGUCGCCCAGGCUGGAGUGCAGUGGUGCGAUCAUGGCUCACUGUAUAACCUCUGCCUCCCAGGGUCAAGGGAUUCUCCUGCCUCAGCCUCCCGAGUAGCUAGGAUUAUAGGCGCACGCCACCACACCGCCUUAUUUUUGCAUUGUAGAGACAGGAUUUUACCAUGCUGCCAGGCUGGUCAUGAACUCCUGACCUCAAGUGAUCCUCUCACCUCGGCUUCCCAAAGUGCUGGGAUUACAGGCAUGAGCCACUGGGCCUGGACUUAAAAUUAUUUUUAUGUAACUAACUUUUUUUUUUUUUUUGAGACAGAGUCUCACUCUGUCUCCAGGCUGGAGUGCCGUGGCGCCAUCUCGGCUCACUGCAACCUCCGCCUCCUGGAUUCAAGUGAUUCUCCUGUCUCAGCCUCCGGAGUAGCUGGGACUAUAGGCACAUGCUACCACGCCCAGCUAAUUUUUGUAUUUUUAGUAGAGAUGAGGUUUUACCAUGUUGGCCAGGAUGGUCUCACUCUCUUAACCUCGUGAUCCACCUGCCUUGGCCUCCCAAAGUGCUGGGAUUACAGGCGUGAGCCACCGCACCGGCUGGUAAUGUUUUCUUUUUUUUUUUUGAGACAGAGUCUUGCUCUGUCACCCAGGCUGGAGUGCAGUGGCGCGAUCUU
rnacentral:lncRNA from 1 species